rnacentral:rRNA from 1 species
UUCGUAGGCGGGCUAAUAAGUCAGUGGUGAAAUCUCUCGGCUCAACCGGGAAACUGCCAUUGAUACUGUUAGUCUUGAGUUCGGUUGAGGUAGGCGGAAUGUGUAAUGUAGCGGUGAAAUGCUUAGAUAUUACACAGAACACCAAUUGCGUAGGCAGCUUACUAGACCGACACUGACGCUGAGGCACGAAAGCGUGGGGAGCGAACAGGAUUAGAUACCCUGGUAGUCC